UAAAUGAUCGUAUAUUGUUAGAUAAUCUAUAAUAAAUCGAAAGUGUUAAUUAUUGAAUUUUAUAUCAUAACCAACUAAGUAUGUUCUGGCAAUGUAUAUUGGAAAGGGAAAUGAAAAUUUUAACAAUCGUGUGUUCAUAAAUCAGCUGUAAAUUAUCGGUUCAUGUAGACAGUAUUACAAUCGCAAAGUGAGCUGAGAUGAUGAUAAAUGGGAUAAUUGACAACAACUAAAUAAUUGUAUGUAAGUUUAUCUCAUCUGAUAUGUAAGAGAUUCAUUGCAUUACUGAAAAACGUUCAGUCAAAACAGUGCUUUUUUCUGUCUUUGAUUUUGAGUGUUUGCUUUAUUUUGAUUUUUUUUUAUUAUUGUUUUUGGCAUUUGUUAUAAUUGAUUUAAAACAAUGCUGAAAUUGAUAUAGGGCUACUAUAACUAUUUCACAGGAUGGGUGUGUAAUUAGAAUCGAGCUACAUUUAUGUGAAUUGAUAUAAUUAAUGCUUACUUGUGAUUUUAGGAUAACUGGAGAUAAUGAUUCCUUUUUUCCAUUGAUAUUUCAUAAAUAUUUUCCUAAGUAUUAUGGUACAAUAAAUUGGUUUUAAAUUAGAUUUUUUUAUAUAAGUAAUCAAUAAUUGCAAUGGAAAUUAAAAUCAUAAUCAUGUUCAUUGAGGAUUUUCAAUAUGUAACAGGUCAAACAGGAACUUCAGUUGUGAACAUUGCAGAGAACACACUCAUCAGAAGAUGACCCUCAGAAAUAGGACAAUUAAUGAAUUAAAAGGACAGAGGCAGAUUUGAAGGAGAUGCAUGAAAUGAGGAAUUUUUCAAAAAUUGCCUGAGCAUAACCACUACUACUGGAUAAACAUAUGGCAAUAUAAAAAGCAGAGUCAAUGGAGGUAUCAUGCGGUAUAGGCCAUGAGAGACCCUGAAGAAGAGAGUAUGGAAGAGAAACAAAAAUAAAACCUUUUUGACAUUUAUUGAAAUAUAGGAUCAAAGCCUUACAUCUAAAAUUUGGGCAUGUAAUGACUUUUCUCUUGCUCUAAGACUUAUAACAGUGAUGAUUUGGUUUAAUAUUUUUAUCCCGAUUUGUCGAAUAGAUUUGGACAUAGUGCAUCAAUUAUUUUAAAGUUUUGAUAUUACAAAUUCAUUCAUUGUACUUGUAACUGAGUUUUCUGGUGCAACACUGUUUAAUCGGCUUCAAAACUAAGUUUGUGAUUUCCAAACCAGACUAAUGAGAUACAUGUAAUAUCUUUUAACAUCGGUGACUAUUAAAUCCAUUCUUUUAAA